GCACAGAUGCUCCACUUUGGUUUACCGAGGUCAGUAUUUAUCCUCUGAGUUAGUAUUUCAGGGGGAAGAGGGGGCUAACAUUGAGUAGACAAAUGAUGAGGUUCCAUUCAUUUUCAACUUUAUUAUUGUUACAUUUUCUUUUAGCGGGACAUAGCACAGAUCCGGAAAUGGUGGUGCAUUAUGCUCAUGGAACGGUACCAGAUUGAAGGGUCCAGUUUCAAAAGUCCGACAUGUGCUUCAUAUUGGAGCUGCCAAACUGUCUUCUCUCGGACCUUCUGAUGGAAGUGGUUCUCCAGGAAGGUGACAAAGCGUACUCAUCACUCACUGCUAGUG